rnacentral:sRNA from 1 species
UGGGACUAAAUGAAGCAAGAUUAGAGCAAACCGAGUGAUCGGCCAAUUGAUCGAACCAGAUUGUCAAACCGGUUUGGUAACUCGUUACCCCUAGCUACGCCACUACACUACUUGCAUUGUUGCAAAGACCAAGUGGCUGUUGUGUUUUGGAAAAAAAAAAAACGUUCUGGGGUUUAGAAAAAUUGGGUAGCGAAUGGGUCCUUUUGAAAGUGAUAUUUUUUUUUGUAGAAGAGGGGGGCGAACCCCCAUUUUUAUUAAAACUGAAAAAACUAAAAAAAUUACACUUGAACGUUCCGGGGGUACGCAGACCCCGCUACAUCAUCGUGAACAAUCGACAUAACAAUAUCCGGAGUAGAAUUAAACAAAUGAAAACCUAACGGUAAAAAAAAAGCAUAGUUAGCUAACCCAUCCGCGAGACGAUUAGCUUCUCUAUACACAUGCGAAAUCCGGACUGACCAGUCCUUUGAAAGUAAGCCAUGGCACAACCGCACCAGGAAGGACAGCGGAUGCGAAUCAUCAAUCCCUGUCCGAAGAAAACCCACUACCAUCUCCGAAUCAAUCUCCAUCUCCAACUGUGUGACACCGCGCUCCCAAGCGAUAUUUAAACCGUAAUAUGCUCCCCAUAGUUCCGCAAGCGGAGCCGAACAAAUUCCAAUAUUCAACGAAAACCCAUAACACCAAUUUCCAUCCCCGUCUCGAACUACUCCACCUGCUGUAGCUAGUCUCGGGUUACCACGCGAAGCACCAUCAGUAUUGAGCUUAAACCAACCCACCCUUGGCGGAGACCACGCAAUCAAUCUCUCCUCCCUAGCUGUCCGCGUCGUCACUCCCAUUUUGUGCACAUGCGCCUUCCAAACAUCCAACGCACGAUCCUUAAUAAAACGAACCCGAUCCCGACACUUCUUGUUCUCGCCAAAGAUGUUACCGUAACGCCAUUUCCACCCCCACCAUAUGGCCUGCGAAAAAGUGACCGCCCAUGGACAACCAUUAAUCUCUAUCUCCUCUCCUAAAUUCGCAUAGAUCCAUUCUAACAGCGAUUUCGAAAAGAAAGAAGAGAGUCUCCGUACUGGUAACAAGCGGGUCCAAAUUCCCGCCAUCGCCGGACAGUCCCGUAAAAUGUGUAGAAUUGUCUCCUCCCCACUCUCGCCAUGUAGAAGACCAUGUACCUUUAGACACCAUCCACGCUCUGUUAUGAAUAUCACCGACACGGUACUUGCUUCUCAAAAUUUUCGACCAUAGACUCACAUCAUCAUGAAGUGAUAUAGUACUAUAUAACUCUUGUCUUGGUUUUAAUAAUAAAAACAAAA